AUGGAGUGCAGUGGGGAGACAAAUUCUUCCAGUUUAGUUGGCCCAAUGAAUGAAGAUUUUGUUGUGGUGAAUAGUGUCCCCUGUAGAGCCCUAAUUGAUUCAGGAUCCCAGAUUACAUCAAUUACUGAGGAGUUUUGGCACCAACACCCCACCCUCAGAAACCUGAGACCAGAUGAGGUUGAUAUCCGCAUAGAAGGGGCUGGAGGUCACGAGGUCCCACAUCAAGGGGUGUUGCGUUUGAAUUUGUCUUUUCUAGACCAGACCUAUGCGGCUGUUCCAGUUUUCGUUGUGCCGGCGACACAGUACCGAAAGUCUGUACCACUUCUGUUAGGAACAAAUGUUAUUAGGGCUAGCAAGCAGGACUUAGAAAAACGGCUGGGCAGAGAGUUCCCUAGCUGCCUGAAAGAUGAACAUCCAGCCUGGCAUGCUGCCUACCAACAGGUGAGGGUGAAGUCACCCGGAAGGGAGCCCAAGACGGUGUCACAAGUUCGUUAUGCAGGAAAACAGCCAGUGAAAAUUAAGCCUGGGGAACACAGAUGCAUAACAGUCAAGGCUCCAUGGUCUCGUGAUAGGAGUCCAUACACUGUACUUAUCGGACCUCCAGAUGGCAAACAGUUUAUUAAAAACAUGGUGGUGGAAGAAGCAGUGGCAGAUGUGGUCCAUGGGCGGACUCUAGUGCACCUCUACAACCAAAGCACAUACAAUAUUGUUAUAAAAAGGGGCCAGACAGUAGCUAGCAUCUCUGCACUGAGCAGCGUAGAAGCAGUGGUUCCCUCUGACCCUACCCCGGAUCUAGGUAGCACAGCCGGUUCGUCGCAUGAUCAACAAAGUUCUUCCCCACCAGAUAAAGCACCAGUUCAAUCGGACAUUCCGGAGAUGGAUUUGAAGGAGGCAGCAGUGCUGAACCAGGAACAACAGGAAAGGCUGGAAGAACUGCUCCGGAGGAACUCUGAUGUGUUUUCAGUUAAUCAGUUCGACCUUGGAUGUACAUCCGCUGUCAAGCAUGAAAUACCAUUGAUUGAUAACAAGCCCAUGCGCCAGCCUUACCGUAGGAUCCCACCAGCCCAGUUUCAGGAGGUUAGACGACAUCUACAGGAUAUGGUUGAAGCGGGAGCCAUUAGAUCAAGUCAGAGCCCUUAUGCCUCACCCAUUGUAGUGGCCAGGAAGAAAGACGGCUCAAUCCGAGUCUGCAUUGACUACAGACAACUAAAUGCAAAGACGGUGAGAGAUGCAUUCCCUAUGCCCCGUAUUGAGGAGGCCUUGGAUGCUCUUGGUGAUGCUGAAUUCUACUCCACACUGGAUCUCACUUCCGGCUACUGGCAGGUAGAGGUGGCUGAACACGACAAGCCCAAAACUGCAUUCACUACACCCAUGGGCCUGUUUGAGUGCAACCGAAUGCCUUUUGGCCUGCAGAAUGCACCAGCCACCUUCCAAAGACUGAUGACUCACUGCCUGGGAGACCUAAAUUUUUCAGCUGUGCUGAUAUACUUAGAUGAUGUCAUUGUAUUCUCCCGAACAUUUGACGAGCACCUAGAGCGCCUGCAGUUAGUUUUUGACCGGCUGCGCCAGUUCCGGCUUAAGUUAAAACCUAAGAAGUGCCACCUGCUCCGGAAAGAGGUUAAAUAUUUGGGACAUGUGGUGUCAGCCGGUGGUAUAGCCACCGACCCAGAGAAAAUACAGCAGGUGCGGAACUGGAAGACCCCGACAGACAGGAAGGAGGUAGCGCAAUUUUUGGGGUUCUCCGGUUAUUACCGGAGAUUUAUAAAAAAUUACUCCAGUUUAGCAGCACCCCUCUUUCACCUGACCGCUGGGUCCCCUAAGAAGGGAAAACGGCCCCACAAACCGGCCGGGAGGCCACCACCAUUCAGUUGGACAGGGCAAUGUGAUCAAGCAUUCACUGAGCUGAAGGAGAGAUUGACAACAGCACCCGUCUUAGGGUACGCCGACUACAGCCUUCCAUUUGUUCUCCAGACGGAUGCUUCAACAGAGGGGUUAGGUGCAGUGCUGGCCCAGGUGCAGUCCGGCAAAGAGAGGGUAAUUGCGUACGCCAGCCGCUGUCUCCCCCCCUCCGAGAAAAGGUACCCGGCUCACAAACUUGAGUUCCUGGCUUUGAAGUGGGCAGUAGCUGAGAAGCUGAGGGACUACCUGUUAGAGCACCGUUUCACUGUGUUGACUGACAACAACCCGUUGGUAUAUGUAACCAGUACUGCCCACCUUGAUGCAACAGGGCAACGGUGGGUUGCAAAGCUAGCAGAAUUUGACUUCGAGAUAAAAUACCGCCCGGGAAAGAGCAACGCGAACGCAGAUGGCCUCUCACGCAUGCCGAGAGCUGAAAUUGCAAGCAUACUGAAGGUCGGUUGUAAUGUCAAUACCGCUAGCACUUCGGACCAAGGGGAAUUUAACUCCACCAGAAAUACUCUAUCCAGCACUGCACCUCCCAGUCAGUGGGCUGAGGUCAUCCCCAGACUGCCUAGGGAGGAGCUUAGGAGACAUCAAGAAAAGGACCCAGUAAUCUCCGUUGUGCUGCGUUACUUCAAGGCUGGACGGGCACCAAGUGUAAGGAAGAGGAAGCAGGAGGAGCCCCUUGUCAGAGCGAUGCUGAGACAGUGGAACAAGCUGACGUUUGAAGAGGACAUCCUCUAUAGAACAUUCAAGUCGCCAGAAGGGAAUGAAGUUAGACAGGUGGUGCUGCCUGAAAAGCUAAGGCGGGAAGUAUUCGACAUGCUACACACCGACAUGGGCCACUUGGGGAUGGAACGAACCGUAGAUCUUAUGCGUGCACGAUGCUAUUGGCCAGCUAUGUUUUCCACUAUCCAACACUGGUGUGAAUCAUGUGAAAGAUGCUGCCUAAGGAAAAGUUCACAGGGCGCCCGUGCACCCCUGAUCUCUAUUCACACGACUAGGCCUUUAGAGCUUGUAUGCCUGGAUUUUCUCACCUUGGAGCGCUGCAAAGGGGGUAUAGAAAAUAUCCUGGUAGUUACCGAUCACUUUACACGCUAUGCUCAGGCUUAUCCUACUCCUGACCAGAGAGCAGCUACCAUAGCCAAGGUUAUGUGGAAACAUUUCAUUUGCCAUUACGGGAUUCCCGAAAGGAUACACACUGACCAAGGGAGGAACUUUGAGAGUGGUCUCCUGCGCCAACUCUGGAAAUCAAUGGGGGUAGCCAAAAGCAGAACCACUCCCUACCACCCACAAGGUAAUGGUACCACUGAAAGGUUUAAUAGAACCUUGAUGAACAUGCUGGGAACCCUGGAACCUCACCAGAAGUCAAACUGGAAGGAGUACGUUGAACCCAUGGUCCACGCAUAUAACUGCACCCGUCAUGAGUCCACAGGCUUCUCACCCUACUUCCUCAUGUAUGGAAGACAUCCUCGUCUUAAAGUGGAUUUGGCUUUGGGGCUCCCAUGCCAGGAGGAGGAGGAAACAGAGCCAGAGGAAUACGUGUCAAGUCUCCGUAGUAGACUGGAGUUGGCUUACAAGCAAGCAACGUUGGAAUCUGAAAGAUCCAAGCGCCGUCAGAAACGGUAUUACGAUCAGAAAGCAAAAGAAAUUACCUUGAGACCAGGAGACCGUGUCCUAGUGGCAAAUAAAAGUGUUAGAGGAAAACAAAAAUUGGGAGACAAGUGGGAGAAAAUACCGCACAUUGUAGUUCGUAAACAAUCUGAUCUGCCAGUAUACGCUGUGCGUCCAGAAACGGGAGGGGGGGAAAGAGUUAUUCACCAAAACUUACUGACGCCCUGUAUGUUUCUCCCAUUAAACAAUACCAAGCAGCUUACCUGUAUGGAUGAUCAGGGUUCGAACACUAGCCACGUAAGGUCAAAUUUUGAAAUAGACACCUCUGAGGAUGAGGAAAACUUAUAUGUAGAGGUAGGGUCACAAGCAAGAAACCGGGGGAAUCAGAUUGAUAGCAUAGGAACAGAGAAGCUCCCUAAAUCAAUUGCACUCGCACCUAGCAGACACAUGGGCUUGGGCACCCAUCCAUUUCUCAGCGAUAGAGACGAUAGCGAUAAUGACAGUCAGCUUAGCUGGGAAAGGGGUUAUCAUGAUACAGAAAUAGUGGCUGACUAUUCAGAAACGCACAACCCAGACCACAUCUGUUUAGGUAGUGAGUUGUCAGGCCCGGAGGGUCCAUCCGCCCCGAGCCAGACCCCAGAGGGUCCAUCCGCCCCGAGCCAGACCCCGGAGGGUCCAUCCGCCCCGAGCCAGACCCCGGAGGGUCCAUCUGCCCCGAGCCAGACCCCGGAGGGUCCAUCCGCCCCGAGCCAGACCCCGGAGGGUCCAUCCGCCCCGAGCCAGACCCCGGAGGGUCCAUCCGCCCCGAGCCAGACCCCGGAGGGUCCAUCCGCCCCGAGCCAGACCCCGGAGGGUCCAUCCGCCCCGAGCCAGACCCCGGAGGGUCCAUCCGCCCCGAGCCAGACCCCGGAGGGUCCAUCCGCCCCGAGCCAGACCCCGGAGAUUUUAAGUAUCCGUAGCCAGGCCAGAGCAGGUCCGCCUGCCAUGGGCCAGGCCCCAGGAAACAUCGAACUCCGCCGCUCCACUCGGCAGAGGAGGCCACCUAAUAGGUUAUCUUUAGAGCACCACGCAGAGACUCUAGGUUCUGAACAGUGCCGAUAUUGCCAGAAGAUUGCUAGGGGCAGGCAAAUCUGGGAAACCCAAAAGAAGAAACAGGCCCUGCGGAUUCCCAGAGACUUUAGAGUUUGCAACAGUUGUGACAUACGUUUGCAUUAACAUGUAAGACGAGGGCGUCCUUUUCUGUAACAGGGGAGAGUGUAGCCAGCUAGUUUAAGAAGUUAGCAAAUAAACUACAAACUGGUAGGGAAUUCUGGGACACUUCCUGUUUCUUCUCCAUGUGGGUAAUUUACAUCAGCAUACUGGAGUUAGUUUGUAAAAUGGCUCCGGCUGUGCAACAGUGUGCUGAUGUCUGUCUGCUAUACUUGGUUUCGUUUGCAGGUUCAGAACUGCUAACCAAGGUCCGGAACCAUCGUAGGAUGCACUGAAGUGAUUGGAAGUAAAGCAUCAGUGAUUUCUCUAUAUGGGAAGGAAUUCAUACUCCUAUGAGUAAAGAAGACAAGGAUGAUCUUAGCUGUCCUGUUCUGCACAUAUUUUGUAGUAUUCCAAAAUGAAUGUUUUGUAAAGCUCCUAAUGAUGGGAUGAAUACAUGGGUUAAAAUAUGUAUUUUUAGCCAACAUAAGAAAAGAAGACCAUUCGGCCCAUCACAGCAUAGAAAGCAAGAAAGAACAAGUGGGUCUUGAGAGUUGAUUUAAAGCGAGCAACAGUGGGAACAUCACACAACAAAGCUGGGAGAGAGUUCCAAAGAGUCGGAGCCACGAAGCUAAACGAAUGUUCUCCAAGUGUGGUGCACUUUUGCUUGGGGAUCACAAGCAGGCCAGAGUCGGAGGACCUCAGCUUGCGGGCAGGGACAUAGCGGGCCAGCAGGUUGAGGAGGUACUCGGGACCUGUGUGAAGAAGGGCAUUGUAAGUGAGCAGGAGAGCUUUGAAAAUAAUCCUGAACUUUACAGGUAGCCAGUGCAGCUGGGCAAGACUGGGGGUGAUAUGUUCAUGUUUUUUACAUCUGGUAAGGAUCCUGGCAGUGGCAUUCUGAACUAGCUGCAGUCGGUUUAUGGUGCGUGCCGGGAGACCACCAUGGAGAGACUUGCAGUAGUCGAGUCGAGAAGAGACAAAUGCAUGACAAAGUAUCUCUGCAUCCAGGAGGGAAAGGUAGGGACGGACUUUGGAGAUGCUUCGAAGAUGGUAGAAGGAAGAUUUGACCACGGAGGAGAUGUGGGCAUCAAAGGAGAGGUUGCUGUCAAGAAGUACACCAAGGCUUCGUACUGUGGGGGAAGGCAGCAGCAGACAGUUUCCGAGGAUCAGGGCAGCUAUAUUGAGAUUCUUAUGCUGAGUUUUAGAUCCUACUAGAAGGAGUCCAGAUUUGAUAGUCUUGAGUUGAAGAAAAUUGACAGACAUCCAGACCUUGAUGUCUUGAAUGCAAGCUGAGUCCAGGGACAGAUAAAGAGUGUGCAUAAUUGAAGGAGCAAGAUCAGAAGCACAGAGACGGACAAGAUUAGUCGGCCAGGGUUCCAGGGGGCAGGUGGCAGUGGUUGAUUUCAGCAGUAAGCUGGAGACAUCAGCAAUUUAUAGAGGAGAGAAAGAGGAGAGAGCAGGAGGGACAACCAGAGGAGAGUCAAGGUGGUCAAGUAGUAAACUGGGUCUGUGGCGGGAGAGUGUGCCUUAUGCAUGCUCACCAGUUUGCGCCCAGCCUCCACCCUGUUGCAUUGGUGCUGUGAUCCUGGUUUCUGUGGGUUAUGGGUUAGGAUUAACUGCCCUCAAAAGACUUCACUCAAGUCCCCUCAUAGUUCUCCCUUGUUCUAGGCUAAAUAGAUUCAGUUCUUUAAACCUAUCUCCAUAGCUCUUUCCGUUGAUUGCUCUCCGUUACACUCUGCAGGGCCACAAUGUCCUUGGUACUGUGAUGACGAGCUUCAGGCACAGUACGCCUAAGUGCAGUCUCACCAGGGCAUUGUAAAACCUUGUCAUAACCUUCUUUGAUUUGUACUGUAAACUUUUGGCUGUAUGCCCAAGCAUUCUGAUUUUCUUUUUGAUUGCUCAGGUCUGUUGUGAAAUUCCUGAGAGUGUACUUAACACAUGUAUUUAUUAUUUAUUUAUUUUUGCACCCUGCUUCACUGGCCCUUGCGUUCUUGCUUGUGAUGUUGUGUGAUAGCACUGCUUAAUAUGGCAAGCCAAAUGAUCACGUAGAGACAUCUCAAAUUACAUUUUAAGAUAUCUUGAAAUAUUUAGAGAUAUCUGUAAAUCAUUUGCAAAUCUCUUUAAAUGAAUUUGAGAUAUCUGUAAAUAAACCAAAUUGAAGAUAUUUCAAACAUAUCUGAGAUCUAAAAAUGAAACAGAUAUCUCAAAUGAAUUUACAUAUAUUUUUUAAUGUUUUACAAGCAUGGUAUGCCAAACUCAUUUAGAGAAAUCUCUCUCUCUCUGUAAAUCAUUUUAAGAUAUGUUGAAAUUAACAGGAAGUCAUUUCAAUAUAUCUCCAAAUGACUUCCUGUGAAAAUGCUCUAUGCUUUGAAAGGACUUCCUGUCCAUUUAGACGUAGCUCUAAAUCAAUAGGAAGUCAUUUUGAGAUAUCUUAAAAUAAUUUAAAGAUAUCUGAAAAUGCAUUUUAGAUAUCUAAUGUAAAGCUCAGUUUAAAGAUAUAUGGAAAUGAAUCUCAGAUAUCUAAAUGUAUUUUAGGUAUCUUAAAAUGAUUUUAAACAACCUUGUAGAUGAUAUAUUGCAGUGAAUAACCCUGUUCCCCCAGAUGGGAGCCCCUGGUUGAUGGUAUGUUAGGGAGCAGAUCUAUCUGUAUGUCCUGCGCUCCCAGUCCUAGGACACAUUGGGCUAGAUUCUCAAAGCUAUUAGCGCUCUGCGCUCCCAGUCCAAGGACACUUUAGGCUAGAUUCUCAAACUGUCAUUAGCGUUGUUUUUUGUCUAAAAAGAAAAAAACACCAUUUACAAUUCUAAAACAAAUAAGACUUUGGACUACUCACACUUUUGUCAUCAGUAAUCAGCUUUGAGAACCUAGUCCUUUGUGAUCGUCAGACCUAAUGCAAAGCCCUGGAGUAUGGCCUGAGAGAGAAUAUGGAUCAUACAAUUUAAAGGAUGUACGAGCAAUAGCUCACAACAGUUAAACAUCCGACCACCAUGCAUUACACUGUACACACAUUUGUAAAGAAUACAAACUGGAUCAGCUGGGAGAUGAAGCCAGAUUAAAGGGUGAACUGGGAAGCAGUGCUUGGGUUAAAGUGUCACUAAUUAUAUUGCACUCAUUGGUGACUAGUGAGCUGAGCUGUUGCCACUGAGCGAGUAUGUCAGGUUUACUCCUCAGGCUCCUGGUGAGAGUCUGAUUUGAUAAUGCAGUACAUGUAGAGUAAAUUCAACACUUAUUCAAUGUAAAUUAGUCUGCCCAUAACGGUUCUCUAUACAGGAGAUAUUCUGUACAGAUGGAGCACGCACACUUAUUCAUUUUAGUUUCAAGCCAUCCUCUAAAACCCACACUGGUGCAAACUGUCACAAAUCCAUUGUGACAGAUCCAUUGUGACAGUGGUGUAUUUACGCUCCUUCUCAUGCAUCGCACGUUUUAUGGCUUAAUGAUGAAAUGCAAGGUUUGAUAUUUCCAAUGUGACAGUUUGCUUUGCAAUAUACUGCAUUUUAUUUUUGUGGUGUACAGAGUUGCGUGUAGUGAGGCAAACACCCACAAUUACUACAACGCAAACAUAAUUUAAAAAAGAAAUGUUUCCUGAAAACAUGUAGAUAUUAAAGAGACAGUAUAAUAGUUUAACCUUCAUAGCAUUCUGCGUUUUGGUGUUCUCUUGUUUUCCAUUUCGGAGAGGCCCGCCCCUGCAGGGUGGGCUGAGCAAUCUCUUUAUAUGUUCAGUUGUAAACCUUGCCACUCGUCUCAGCUUACCAGGUUCUGAUGGAGUUUAUUUAGCAGACGCCUUUAUCCAAAGCAACUUACAGAGACUAGGGUGUGUGAACUAUGCAUCAGCUGCAGAGUCACUUACAAUUACGUCCCACCCGAAAGACGGAGCACAAGAAGGUUAAGUGCUUUGCUCAGGGUCACACAAUGAGUCAGUGGCUGAGGUGGGAUUUGAACCGGGAACCUCCUAGUUACAAGCCCUUUUCUUUAACCACUGGACCACACGGCCUCCUCAGUGGAGUGGUCAUUAUCCCAUGUUAGACUGCAAAAGCCUAGAAUUUUUCAACUGUCCUUUUACAUUUUAAAACCCAUCUGCUUUACGCUGAUGUCAUCUGCGUCUCUUCCUUAUUAUCAAAAUGAACAAAAAUAAAAAUGACAACAUACAUCUGGUUUGCUGAAAUCACUGGAACCGAUUUGGUUGAAAAACUAACAAACAUGUAAACAGACCCGUCAACUUCACUCCAGCUAAAAAUAUAUUUUACUGCAGUGAUUUUUUAAAAAAAGGGUGAAAAAUGACAAAAGACAGAACAAAAUAUUGUCACACGCAUACUGUUAUGUCUGCUACUUCUGAUCUUUCACUGCAUCUUCUGAUGAUUCUAUAUGACAUACGCAUCCAUAGUGGUUUAGAAUUUUCACAUACUAGCCUUGUAUUUAAUGUAUUAUACUUUGUUCACUGUAUUUAAUGUAUUAUGCAUUGUUUUUUACUGUAUCUUGUAAAGUGCUUUGUGAUGGUGGUCCACUAUGAAAGGCACUGUAUAAAAUAAAGAUUGGUUGAUGAUUGAUUGAUUACUAAAAAUGACUAGUGUAAGAAACUAAAGACACUGAUAAUGCUCUCUUGUGGGGGCAGAAUGUUUGAAAAAACUUCUACUGCUAGCAUGUCCAAUUGUAUCACUACAAAAAUAUGUAAGUAAAAUGCCAUUCAAGACUUACAGAAGCAGUCACUACAUUCACUUGGUAAAUUAUGUUUUAUUUGAAAUCUUUGU